rnacentral:misc_RNA from 1 species
GCUGGCCUUGAAGAUCAGAUGGCAAUGAGGGUGCGCAUGGGCGACCAGCGAGGUGUCCAUAUCAAGAAGAGCGACUCGCCCGAAAGCUCCGCUCAAGAUGCUCAACGCCUUGGUCACAGACGUACCCCGGCAAGCCGCUGCCUUCUGCAGCACGGAAUAAUUCUAUCAUGCAUGGCGGAUCGGCGAAACACGGACGACGACGCUAAAGAAACAUCUGAAAUGAUAAAAAAUCCGCCUCGGUGCAAAGUAGCCCUUUAGCAUGGAUUCUAGAUUUCUUCCGGUCAAU